CUACGGGGGGCUCCAGUGGGGAAUAUUGCACAAUGGGCGCAAGCCUGAUGCAGCAACGCCGCGUGAACGAUGAAGGUCUUCGGAUCGUAAAGUUCUUUUCUUAGGGAAGAAAAAUGACGGUACCUAAGGAAUAAGCACCGGCUAAAUACGUGCCAGCAGCCGCGGUAAUACGUAUGGUGCAAGCGUUAUCCGGAAUCACGGGGCGUAAAGGGAGCGUAGGCGGUUUUGCAAGUCAGAAGUGAAAGGCUACGGCUCAACCGUGGUAAGCUUUUGAAACUGCAAGACUAGAGUGCAGGAGAGGCAAGUGGAAUUCCUAGUGUAGAGGUGAAAUUCGUAGAUAUUAGGAGGAACACCAGUGGCGAAGGCGACUUGCUGGACUGUAACUUACGCUGAGGCUCGAAAGCGUGGGGAGCGAACAGGAUUAGAUACCCCGGUAGUC
rnacentral:rRNA from 1 species